rnacentral:rRNA from 1 species
UGCCAGUAGUCAUAUGCUUUGUUCAAGGGCUAAGCCAUGCACGUCUCAGCGCAAAUGGAGCGACAGUGGAUCUGUGAAUGGCUCCUUACAUCAGCAGUCAUCUACGUGAUAGAGUGUGCUCGGUCAUCUAUGCAAUGUGUGGAACCCCUUUGGACAUCCACCAAAACCUUGUGGCUAAUACACGCGUGAACCAGUCAGCCAUGCGACACUCGGUGCGACUCUCAGGACCACUUCGGUGGCCCGGUCCAACCGGUGGUGGCGGAUGAACGCCCAGCUGAUACAAAGACCAGCGGCCGUUACAGGCCAGUGUGUUGUUCAUGGUUGACUCAGGCUGGCCCUCUGUGGCCGCAGUGUUGGCAGAUUUCGUGGCGCGUCAUCCCCCCGGGGAUGGCCGUCCCUGCUUGAUCGCAAGAGCUUCUGACCUAUCAGCUCGACUGUGGUGUAUUGGACCACAGUGGCCUUGACGGGUAACGGAGAAUCAGGGUUCGAUUCCGGAGAGGGAGCUCUGAGAGACGGCUACCACUACCAAGGUGGGCAGCAGGCACGCAAAUUGCCCCAUGCAAAGACAGUCUGUGAGGCAGCGACGAACAGUAGCAAUCCUGUCGGCAAUCAAUGCCGAUGGGACUUGGAAUGGAUGCUAUCCAAAGACAGUCAUGAGUAUCAACUGGAGGGCAAGUCUGGUGCCAGCAGCUGCGGUAAUUCCAGCUCCAAGAGCGUAUACUAACAUUGCUGCUGUUAAAACACUUGUAGUCUGCUGCCGGGCUGCAGGUCUGCUGGGUGGCCGGCUGUUGUCUCGGUGUUGGGGCCCGGUUCGCCGGGUCCUGGGCCUUGAUGACACCGGAUUCAACCCCCAGUGGUACGUCCCUGCGCCCAACUCUUCUGUAGACGGUGAGAAUUGCCCCUGCCGAAAGCCUGCUUCAUUGCAGGCCAAAGCGGACGUUCGCCUUCCACUCUGGCCACGGACACCAAGGGGACCCGGUCUUGUGCCGGGCACAUACCCCUGUCCACCACCGGGGCCCACCGUCAGUGACACCCUGGAAAACUCAGUUUGCUCAAAGAAACCUCGCGACGGCUGAAUGUCCAUCCAUGGAAUGUCAAGGCAUCGACCGAGUGUGGCAUUGGAGUUGUGCUGGCCUUGGGGCCCACUCUGGGCAACCUGGUGAGUGUUCCCACAGGUCCAACGUUCAGGGGACGUGGCCCCACUGGUCUUCGGGCCAGCGGGUGUCUACGCCUCCCACACGUCCCUGUGGCUUGCACCCAUCGAUCGUACACGAUGGGACCGUUCGGGGUGAAAGAUAUGGGAGCGCCAGAGGUGAAAUUCUUAGAUCGCUGCCAGAUCCACUGCAGCGAAGGCGUUCUGCAAGUGCACGUCCGUCGAUCAAGAAUGAGAGUUCGGGGAGCAAAGAUGAUCAGACACCGUCGUAGUCCGGCCACUGUAAACGAUGCCGGCCAGGCCUUGGCAGGGCAAGAUCAAUCAGACCCUGUCAGGGCCACUCCUCCCACAACGAGAAAUCCACAGCCUGUGGGUCAGGGGGGAGUACUGUCGCAAGGCUGAAACUUAAAGGAAUUGACGGAAUGGCACCACAAGGCGUGGAGUAUGCGGCUUAAUUUGACUCAACGCGGGGAAUGUUACCAGGUCAGGACGCAACUGGGAUUGACAGAUUGAGAGCUCUUUCUUGAUUCUGUGGACGGUGGUGCAUGGCCGCUCCUGAUUGGUGGAGUGAUUUGUCUGGUUGAUUCCGAUAACGAGUGAGACAUCUGCCUCCCAGUAGCCUGGGGCUCGCAUUUGGUAGGGCCUGGCCCCCGGGUGGCAGCCCCAUCGGGGUGGUGGGUUCGCCCACUACUCCGUGGGGAGAUGUACCAGGUGGGCUCCCGAGAGCCUCCAGUUUAGCUUCUCUGAGGUGCUGUGUCCGCCACAAAGGGCACGCAUGCUAGAGCCAACAGCAGGUCUGUGAUGCUCCCAGAUGUCCUGGGCCGCACGCGCACUACAUUGUCACAGUGAAGGUGUUGUCCAAGCCCACCCCGGUGGGCCCUGUCCUGAAGUGGAUGGGAAAUCCUGCAAGCCUGUGACGUACUGGGGAUAGAUGAUUGCAACUGUCUGCCUUGAACGUGGAAUGCCUAGUAUGCCUGGGUCAUCAGCCCAGACCGAUUGUGUCCCUGCCAUUUGUACACACCGCCCGUCGUUGCUACCGAUGGUGGCUGGAUAGAGUCAUCAGGAGGUCAGGGCCGCGGGUCCCUCGGGGCCAGUAGAGUGGUCACAGCCGAAAUUGGACAAUGUCCAGCUGCUAGAGGAAGCAAAAGUCGUAACAAGGUUGCUGUAGGUGAACC